rnacentral:rRNA from 1 species
AGUGAACGCUGGCGGUAGGCCUAACACAUGCAAGUCGAACGGCAGCACAGUAAGAGCUUGCUCUUACGGGUGGCGAGUGGCGGACGGGUGAGGAAUACAUCGGAAUCUACUUUUUCGUGGGGGAUAACGUAGGGAAACUUACGCUAAUACCGCAUACGACCUACGGGUGAAAGCAGGGGAUCUUCGGACCUUGCGCGAUUGAAUGAGCCGAUGUUGGAUUCGCUAGUUGGCGGGGUAAAGGCCCACCAAGGCGACGAUCCGUAGCUGGUCUGAGAGGAUGAUCACCCACACGGGAACUGAGACACGGUCCCGACUCCUACGGGAGGCAGCAGUGCGGAAUAUUGGACAAUGGGCGCAAGCCUGAUCCAGCCAUACCGCGUGGGUGAAGAAGGCCUUCGGGUUGUAAAGCCCUUUUGUUGGGAAAGAAAAGCAGCAGGUUAAUACCCCGCUGCUCUGACGGUACCCAAAGAAUAAGCACCGGCUAACUUCGUG